UCAAGUACUGGGAUUACAGGUUGCUGUCCUUAAGAGAUGCGUCACCUCCCAAUCCGAAGCGUACUCACGAUUGAACCCAGAGCCUUGGAACUGAGCUAAGUUCCAUCC